UAUCUCUGUAGAGUCUGCAUAUCAAUAAGCGGAGGAAAAGAAACUAACAAGGAUUCCCUUAGUAACGGCGAGUGAAGCGGGAAGAGCUCAAAUUUGAAAUCUUCAAGGUUCUACCUUGACGAAUUGUAGUUUAAAGAAGUGUUUUCUGUUAGAUGAGUAGCAAAAGUUCCUUGGAAUGGGACAUCAUAGAGGGUGAGAAUCCCGUAUUUGGUUAUUCGAUUCUAGCUUUGUGAUUACACUUUCAAAGAGUCGGAUUGUUUGGGAAUGCAGUCCAAAAUGGGUGGUAAAUUUCAUCUAAAGCUAAAUAUUGGCGAGAGACCGAUAGCGAACAAGUACCGUGAGGGAAAGAUGAAAAGAACUUUGAAAAGAGAGUUAAACAGUACGUGAAAUUGUCAAAAGGGAAGCGUUUGACACCAGUGUUGUUUUUCCGAAAAUCAAUUACGAAUGGCUUCGAUUUUGUGUUGUAUUGACCUUAUCAGCUUUCUGCACUUUUUUCGAGUCUUUCUUAAUGCACUUUUCGGUUAACAAGUCAACAUCAAUUUCUUUUGUUGUAAAAGAGUAUUCGGAAGGUGGCUUUCUUUUCGGAGAAAGUGUUUAUAGCCCUAUACUUCUACAAUCGGAGAGAUUGAGGUCUGCAGCGUAGAUCCUUCGGGGUUAGAUACACUUAGUGCUAAGUUGUAGCUUUUCAUAGACAACUUGUUGACUAUGUUUAGUCAUGCGACUUACUCGCUUAUGCUAUUUUACCUACGCUUAGGAUGUUGACUGAUAUGUAGUCGUA
rnacentral:rRNA from 1 species